AACGUGGACCCGUUACCCGGGUUGCGGACAGUGUCUGGUGGGUAGUUUGACUGGGGCGGUCUCCUCCUAAAGAGUAACGGAGGAGCACGAAGGUUGGCUAAUCCUGGUCGGACAUCAGGAGGUUAGUGCAAUGGCAUAAGCCAGCUUGACUGCGAGCGUGACGGCGCGAGCAGGUGCGAAAGCAGGUCAUAGUGAUCCGGUGGUUCUGAAUGGAAGGGCCAUCGCUCAACGGAUAAAAGGUACUCCGGGGAUAACAGGCUGAUACCGCCCAAGAGUUCAUAUCGACGGCGGUGUUUGGCACCUCGAUGUCGGCUCAUCACAUCCUGGGGCUGAAGUAGGUCCCAAGGGUAUGGCUGUUCGCCAUUUAAAGUGGUACGCGAGCUGGGUUUAGAACGUCGUGAGACAGUUCGGUCCCUAUCUGCCGUGGGCGCUGGAGAACUGAGGGGGGCUGCUCCUAGUACGAGAGGACCGGAGUGGACGCAUCACUGGUGUUCGGGUUGUCAUGCCAAUGGCACUGCCCGGUAGCUAAAUGCGGAAGAGAUAAGUGCUGAAAGCAUCUAAGCACGAAACUUGCCCCGAGAUGAGUUCUCCCUGAGACUUAGAGUCUCCUGAAGGAACGUUGAAGACGACGACGUUGAUAGGCCGGGUGUGUAAGCGCAGCGAUGCGUUGAGCUAACCGGUACUAAUGAACCGUGAGGCUUAACCUU
rnacentral:rRNA from 1 species